GCAUCAAAUUUAUGAAUUUACAAUACUUUUAUGAGCUGUUCUGAUGACAAGAUGAAAUGCAUCUAAGAUCAUUAUCAAUAACUACAUGUAUGUUUUUAUCAUAAUCACUGAGUUUAAUGCUACAUGCAAAGAAUGUGAAUGCAGGUAUUUUUCUGUUCUUGUGCUUGUAGUCAUUAAGUAUGGUUCCACGUAAAAAUCAGGCAAAAUCGCAUUUUCGUGAUAAGUCCAUGUUCACGAAAUGAACCCAAACUUAGCAUACUAACUCACCGUAAUAUGUUUAGCAAAUAUACAAAGUAGUUUUGAUUUAUUUCGUCUUGUUCCAAAAUUAUGGACAGAUAAUUAUGAACAUGUAGAAUUCACGCUUAGUGCAAAUCUAUACAAAACACUACUUGUAAUCCCUUUGAAAUCAAAAAACAGCAAAGCGGGUAUGAAAAUAUAUCAUUAUAUAACAUUAAACAAAUAAAAAAGGCAUGCUCUGAAAUAAAUAUUUUUUUUGAAAGUUUCAAUAUAACAUUUUAAAACCUCUCUGAAUGUUUCGAUUUUAAUGCAAUUUCGGUUAUCGUUCUUGAAUUUAACCUCGAUGAUCGCUAGGGGCGCUGCGUUGUCAACACACUAAGUGCGCGGAAUAUGGCGGAUCCAAAACUGAAUGCCGUUUAGGACAAUAUUCCGACAGAGUGUGAUCUACCCUCAAGCCUCAUCUAAAGGAAACGAAUAUAUUUACCUUCGGAGAGUGUCAGAAAUACAUUGAUGCAUAUGGCGUCACUGACGAUAGACCGUGUGGAGCAGCCGACAACGAAGACCGAGCAACAUCAAGUCGGCGCAUUCCGGUCUCUGCAAAACCCAAGGACAUACUUAAAGUGGUGACAGGAGGAAAAUCAAUCAAACCAAGUGAAAGUACAAGACAAUAUUACAAAAGGAAAGCAAAGGAGUCCAUAAAUUUAAUGUCAAACAUCAAGACAGUCUAAAAUAUUGAAUCCAAACAAAAUAUCAAAACUUUAUGAAGAAAUAAACGACAAAUUGUCAAAUAAACAUGAAAGCAUUCUUAUAUAUGGUGUUUAUUCAAAUUAUUUCAACUGAAAUUCCUAAUGUACCUAAAUUCGAGAGGGAAACAACUUAUGAAAAAUUAAACACCAAUGUAAUGAAGUUGUGUUGACAUGCAAAAAUACAUGUAUAAUGUGAUGCAUCAUAGAAUAGCUCAAAUGGUCUAUUUUAUGCAUUUUUUGGGCUCUUCACCCACCCCUUUCUGGAUGGAGAAGGUACACACAUGAGUCACAACCCCUCCAUCCCCCCUUAUAUUUUUUUCUGGAUCUGCCUCUGUUUUGUAAAUAUGUUCGUAACAAAUAUAUUUCUGUGCUCAUUUGUUCCUUUAUCAUGUUUAUGCCUUGUUUGGGGUUACACUUUUAAAAAAGUAUGAUUUUGAAAUAAAAAUUUUAAGCUUCAAA